AAUUCUCAACCUAACCACUUUGUUGUUGGUUAAGGCUUGGAUGUGGGGGUUGCGGGCUUCACAGAAGUCGGCUCUCCUAAAAUGCAUUAGUGGAACCUUUUGUCGACCUGUUUCCUGGUGUGAUAAUUAUCUACACUGCGGACGGUCAGCGAUUCUAAUGGGGCUCUGCUUCUAACUUGUUUCUUAACGGGAACACUUUGACGAU
rnacentral:misc_RNA from 1 species